GACGAACGCUGGCGGCGUGCUUAACACAUGCAAGUCGAACGGAAAGGCCCUUCGGGGUACUCGAGUGGCGAACGGGUGAGUAACACGUGGAUGAUCUGCCAUGCACUUUGGGAUAAGCCUGGGAAACUGGGUCUAAUACCGAAUAGGACCACGAGAUACUUGGUGUGUGGUGGCAAGCUUUUGCGGUGUGGGAUGGGCCCGCGGCCUAUCAGCUUGUUGGUGGGGUACUGGCCGACCAAGGCGAAGACGGGUAGCCGGCCGGGGAGGGUGACCGGCCACACUGGGCCUGAGAUACGGCGCAGACGCCUACGGGAGGCAGCAGUGGGGAAUAUUGCACAAUGGGCGCAAGCCUGAUGCAGAGACGCCGCGUGAGGGAUGACGGCCUUCGGGUUGUAAACCUCUUUCAAUAGGGACGAAGCGGAAGUGACGGUACCUAUAGAAGAAGCACCGGCCAACUACGUG
rnacentral:rRNA from 1 species